rnacentral:rRNA from 1 species
AUUGAACGCUGGCGGCAGGCCUAACACAUGCAAGUCGAGCGGAUGAAGGGAGCUUGCUCCUGGAUUCAGCGGCGGACGGGUGAGUAAUGCCUAGGAAUCUGCCUGGUAGUGGGGGAUAACGUCCGGAAACGGGCGCUAAUACCGCAUACGUCCUGAGGGAGAAAGUGGGGGAUCUUCGGACCUCACGCUAUCAGAUGAGCCUAGGUCGGAUUAGCUAGUUGGUGGGGUAAAGGCCUACCAAGGCGACGAUCCGUAACUGGUCUGAGAGGAUGAUCAGUCACACUGGAACUGAGACACGGUCCAGACUCCUACGGGAGGCAGCAGUGGGGAAUAUUCGACAAUGGGCGAAAGCCUGACGGAGCCACGCCGCGUGUGUGAAGAAGGUCUUCGGAUUGUAAAGCACUUUAAGUUGGGAGGAAGGGAAGUAAGUGAAUCCAUUGCCGUCUUGACGUUACCUACAGAAAAAGCACCGGCUAACUACGUG